GUGGGCGUGCCGGAGUGGUUAUCGGGCAUGACUAGAAAUCAUGUGAGCUCUGCCCACGCAGGUUCGAAUCCUGCCGCUCACG
rnacentral:tRNA from 1 species